rnacentral:rRNA from 1 species
GUCAGCAGCCAUACCACCUGCAUUUCAGACUAGCUAAUCCAUCUGAAGCUAAGGAAGUUUGGGCCUGACCAGUACUUUGUUGGGAGAUCAACUAGGAAAGCUGGGUUGCUGCUGGGA